AACAUCUUAGUACCUGCAGGAAAAGAAAAUAAACAAUGAUUCCCCCAGUAGUGGCGAGCGAACGGGGAACAGCCCAAACCAUCCAUGUUACGGCAUGGGUGGGGUUGUAGGACUACGCCGUUGCAUGAAGACAUCAGAGAAGAACUUUCUGGAAAGAAAGACCAUAGAGCAUGACAGUUGCGUAUUCGAAUGUUGUCGAAGCAUAGUAGUAUCCUGAGUAGCGCGGAGCACGAGGAAUUCUGCGUGAAUCUGCCGGGACCAUCCGGUAAGGCUAAAUACUCCCGAGAGACCGAUAGCGAACCAGUACCGUGAGGGAAAGGUGAAAAGCACUUCGAACAGAAGAGUGAAAUAGUUCCUGAAACCGUGCGCCUACAAGCGGUCGGAGCUCGUUAAUGAGUGACGGCGUGCCUUUUGCAUAAUGAACCUACGAGUUGCCUUUGCCGGCAAGGUUAAGUGUGACGACACACGUA
rnacentral:rRNA from 1 species